rnacentral:rRNA from 1 species
ACUUGUUAGUUGCCAUCAUUCAGUUGGGCACUCUAGCGAGACUGCCGGUAUAAACCGGAGGAAGUGGGGGAUGACGUCAAAUCAUCAUGCCCUUAUGACCUGGGCUACACACGUGCUACAAUGGUUGGUACAACGAGUUGCGAGUCGGUGACGGCGAGCUAAUCUCUUAAAGCCAAUCUCAGUUCGGAUUGUAGGCUGCAACUCGCCUACAUGAAGUCGGAAUCGCUAGUAAUCGCGGAUCAGCACGCCGCGGUGAAUACGUUCCCGGGCCUU